GUCAUAGAAGCUAAAGACAGGAGGCUUAUGCUGCAUAGAUAGUAUUAUUUAUGCUAAACAGUCAGGAUCGAUUGUCCACCGAGUUACCGCUCCGUACCAUUACACUGCUUGUAAGUGAUAGUCCCCUCACCCCUGCACUUCUCUAUGCAAAAUGUAUACUGUAUGUCUGGCUGACCGUGUAGCUGACCAAGAGAGAGCAGGGGGAGGACAUUCCUUAGCUGGAGUGAUGAAUGCUUGCUUGUGUAGAUAUGUGUCGGCAGAGACAGGUGGGGUGUCGCUGUUGAUUUUAUG